AAUAGAUACCCCGGUAGUCCACGCCGUAAACGAUGGAUACUAGCUGUUGGGCGCAAGUUCAGUGGCUAAGCGAAAGUGAUAAGUAUCCCACCUGGGGAGUACGUUCGCAAGAAUGAAACUCAAAGGAAUUGACGGGGGCCCGCACAAGCGGUGGAGCAUGUGGUUUAAUUCGAUGAUACGCGAGGAACCUUACCAAGGCUUAAAUGUAGAUUGACCGGUUUGGAAACAGAUCUUUCGCAAGACAAUUUACAAGGUGCUGCAUGGUUGUCGUCAGCUCGUGCCGUGAGGUGUCAGGUUAAGUCCUAUAACGAGCGCAACCCCUGUUGUUAGUUGCCAGCGAGUCAAGUCGGGAACUCUAACAAGACUGCCAGUGCAAACUGUGAGGAAGGUGGGGAUGACGUCAAAUCAUCACGGCCCUUACGCCUUGGGCUACACACGUGCUACAAUGGCCGGUACAGAGAGCAGCCACUGGGUGACCAGGAGCGAAUCUAUAAAACCGGUCACAGUUCGGAUCGGAGUCUGCAACUCGACUCC
rnacentral:rRNA from 1 species